GAUGAACGCUAGCGGCAGGCCUAAUACAUGCAAGUCGAACGGAGUAGCAAUACUUAGUGGCGGACGGGUGCGGAACACGUACGUAACCUGCCUGUGAGAGGGGGACAACAGAGAGAAAUUUUCUGCUAAUACCGCAUAAUGCAGCGGCAGCAUAAGCUGACAGUUGUUAAAGGAGUAAUCCGCUUACAGAGGGGCGUGCGUCUGAUUAGUUAGUUGGCGAGGUAACGGCUCACCAAGACGAUGAUCAGUAACUGGUCUGAGAGGAUGAUCAGUCACACGGGCACUGAGACACGGGGCCCGACUCCUACGGGAGGCAGCGGUAGGGAAUAUUGGGCAAUGGGCGCAAGCCUGACCCAGCCAUGCCGCGUGAAGGACGAAGGUGCUCAGCAUUGUAAACUUC
rnacentral:rRNA from 1 species